ACUUUUAUAGUGUAAGGCACAUUAUAAUUUCAUUAUAAUAGAGGAUAAUCCUAAAAGUA
rnacentral:tRNA from 1 species